GACGGAGGAUUCAAGUGUUACCCGGAAUCACUGGGCGUAAAGCGUAUGUAGGUGGUUAAAUAAGUCAACUGUUAAAUCUUGAGGCUCAACUUCAAAAUCGCAAUCGAAACUAUUAGACUAGAGUAUAGUAGGGGUAAAGGGAAUUUCCAGUGGAGCGGUGAAAUGCGUAGAGAUUGGAAAGAACACCAAUGGCGAAAGCACUUUACUGGGCUAUUACUGACACUGAGAGACGAAAGCUAGGGUAGCAAAUGGG
rnacentral:rRNA from 1 species